rnacentral:rRNA from 1 species
UACGGGGGGAGCAAGCGUUGUUCGGAUUUACUGGGCGUAAAGGGCGCGUAGGCGGUAGCACAAGUCAGUUGUGAAAUCUCGGGGCUUAACUCCGAAACUGCAUUUGAUACUGGCGUGCUUGAGGACUGGAGAGGAGACUGGAAUUCAUGGUGUAGCAGUGAAAUGCGUAGAGAUCAUGAGGAAGACCAGUGGCGAAGGCGGGUCUCUGGACAGUUCCUGACACUGAGGCACGAAGGCCAGGGGAGCAAACGGG